UACGUAGGGGGCAAGCGUUGUCCGGAAUUAUUGGGCGUAAAGAGCUCGUAGGCGGCUUGUCGCGUCGUCCGUGAAACCUGGGGCUCAACCCCAGGCUUGCGGUCGAUACGGGCAGGCUCGAGUUCGGUAGGGGAGACUGGAAUUCCUGGUGUAGCGGUGAAAUGCGCAGAUAUCAGGAGGAACACCGGUGGCGAAGGCGGGUCUCUGGGCCGAUACUGACGCUGAGGAGCGAAAGCGUGGGGAGCGAACAGG
rnacentral:rRNA from 1 species